UUGAAAUCGGGCGCCCCGUCGCGGGCGCCCGAGUUGUAGUCUGCAGAGGAUGCCCUGGGCGCGGCGGCCUUCCGAGUUCUCUGGAACGGGACGCCGCAGAGGGUGAGAGCCCCGUCCGGUCGGACGCCAGGCCCGUGUAGGGCUCCUUCGACGAGUCGAGUAGUUUGGGAAUGCUGCUCAAAACGGGAGGUAAAUGUCUUCCAAAGCUAAAUACCGGCCAGAGACCGAUAGCGCACAAGUAGAGUGAUCGAAAGAUGAAAAGCACUUUGGAAAGAGGGUUAAAGAGCACGUGAAAUUGCUGAAAGGGAAGCGCCCGCGACCAGACUUGGGCCCGGCAGGUCACCCGUCGUUCUCGGCGGGGCACCCUGCCGGGCGCAGGCCAGCAUCGGCUCGGCGCGGGGGAUAAAGGCGGCGGGAACGUGGCUCCCUCCGGGGAGAGCUUAUAGCCCGCCGCGCCAUGCCCCGUGUCGGGCCGAGGCACGCGCACCGCAAGGAUGCUGGCGUAAUGGUCGCCGGCGACCCGUCUUGAAACACGGACCAAGGAGUCGUCCUCGUAUGCGAGUGUUGGGGUGCCAAACCCCUACGCGCAGUGAAAGCGAACGCAGGUGAGAGCCGGCAGCGGCGCAUCAUCGACCGAUCCUGAUGUUCUCGGAUGGAUUUGAGUAGGAGCAUACGGGGCCGGACCCGAAAGAAGGUGAACUAUGCCUGUGUAGGGUGAAGCCAUGGGAAACCAUGGUGGAGGCUCGCAGCGGUUCUGACGUGCGAAUCGAUCGUCAAA
rnacentral:rRNA from 1 species